CAAUGGAGCUGCCGGUGCAGCUGGAGAUAGAUGGCUGAGUGUAACUUGCACACCCAUCCGUCAGCCAGCUGCUGAGAUAAUACGGUCCGAACCUGUCCAUGGUCAUGCAUGCGAAGGGAUGCCUUCAUGGCAACAA
rnacentral:ncRNA from 1 species